rnacentral:rRNA from 1 species
AUUGAACGCUGGCGGCAUGCUUUAUACAUGCAAGUCGGACGAGUGGCGAACGGGUGAGUAACGCAUCGGAACGUACCGAGUAAUGGGGGAUAACUGUCCGAAAGGACAGCUAAUACCGCAUAUUAUUCGAGCGUCCGAUGUCUGAUUAGCGGGUUGGCGGGGUAAAGGCUAACCAAGGCGACGAUCAGUAGCGGGUCUGAGAGGGUGAUCGGCCAAACUGGAACUGAGACACGGCCCAGACUCCUACGGGAGGCAGCAGUGGGGAAUUUUGGGCAAUGGGCGAAAGCCUGAUCGAGCAAUGCCGCGUGUGUGAAGAAGGCCUUCGGGUUGUAAAGGACUUUUAUCAGGGAAGCGGUACCUGAUGAGUAAGCACCGGCUAACUACGUGCCAGCAGCCGCGGUAAUUC